AUUGAACGCUGGCGGCAGGCCUAACACAUGCAAGUCGAGCGGACGAAGGGAGCUUGCUCCUGGAUUCAGCGGCGGACGGGUGAGUAAUGCCUAGGAAUCUGCCUGGUAGUGGGGGAUAACGUCCGGAAACGGGCGCUAAUACCGCAUACGACCUGAGGGAGAAAGUGGGGGAUCUUCGGACCUCACGCUAUCAGCUGAGCCUAGGUCGGAUUAGCUAGUUGGUGGGGUAAAGGCCUACCAAGGCGACGAUCCGUAACUGGUCUGAGAGGAUGAUCAGUCACACUGGAACUGAGACACGGUCCAGACUCCUACGGGAGGCAGCAGUGGGGAAUAUUGGGCAAUGGGCGAAAGCCUGAUCCAGCCAUGCCGCGUGUGUGAAGAAGGUCUUCGGAUUGUAAAGCACUUUAAGUUGGGAGGAAGGGCAGUAAGUUAAUACCUUGCUGUUUUGACGGUACCAACAGAAUAAGCACCGGCUAACUUCGUG
rnacentral:rRNA from 1 species